rnacentral:tRNA from 1 species
GGAGUGGUAGUUCAGUCGGUUAGAAUACCGGCCUGUCACGCCGGGGGUCGCGGGUUCGAGUCCCGUCCACGAAG